CUGAUGGGGACAGCAGCUCGGCAAAAGCCAGGGCCCUGGGGCAGGACUUUAGAGAGUACCAUGCAAAUGAAAACAGAGAGGGGGCCCCUCCCCUUUGCAUACAGACUCCCAGCCUUCCACAGAUGAGCAGAAGGCUGAGGUUAUGACACUGGUAUUCUCACACCAAGGACGGGGAUUGUACACCUGCUGAACGUAACGUGCGAACAUCCCUUUCGAGUGCGCACUCAUUUGCUGCAACAUGCGAACACCCGUCACAGUCGCACGUCGCUUCAAGCUCUGCUCCAGCUGCUGCAGGAACGAGGAUCUUGCUGUGCUUCAGAAAUUGCAGGACUCCCAACUUCCAUCAGCCCCAACCAGCAGGAUAAAUAAGACAGGGAGUGACGCCAACAUGAGCAAGCGACAACAACAACAGCGGGGAGGGAGGAAAAAGGCAGGAAUCCAUGACGCUCAGUCGUAGCUGUUAUUCAUGCGCAAGGAGUUCGCUUCUGCUGCAUUUGAACAUCGGAAUCUCCAGAGGGAUAGAGAGGGGACUUUGGGCACCUCGACAGCACCAAUAUUUACAGCACCGAAGUGACUUCCCUAGGGUGCAAGCCUGGGCUGUGUCUGGAGGUCUUGGGCAGUCCAGACGACAAGAUCCCUCCUCUCGGCCUCGUUGAUGUGGUCCCAAGGAAAGGAAAGCAAUAUGUUUGGCACCAGCC